rnacentral:rRNA from 1 species
GGAAACCCAGUGUGACUCGUCACACUAUCAUUAACUGAAUCCAUAGGUUAAUGAGGCGAACCGGGGGAACUGAAACAUCUAAGUACCCCGAGGAAAAGAAAUCAACCGAGAUUCCCCCAGUAGCGGCGAGCGAACGGGGAGGAGCCCAGAGCCUGAAUCAGCAUGUGUGUUAGUGGAAGCGUCUGGAAAGGCGCGCGAUACAGGGUGACAGCCCCGUACACAAAAGCGCAUGUGCUGUGAGCUCGAUGAGUAGGGCGGGACACGUGGUAUCCUGUCUGAAUAUGGGGGGACCAUCCUCCAAGGCUAAAUACUCCUGACUGACCGAUAGUGAACCAGUACCGUGAGGGAAAGGCGAAAAGAACCCCGGCGAGGGGAGUGAAAAAGAACCUGAAACCGUGUACGUACAAGCAGUGGGAGCACCCUUUGGGUGUGACUGCGUACCUUUUGUAUAAUGGGUCAGCGACUUAUAUUCUGUAGCAAGGUUAACCGAAUAGGGGAGCCGGAGGGAAACCGAGUCUUAACCGGGCGUUAAGUUGCAGGGUAUAGACCCGAAACCCGGUGAUCUAGCCAUGGGCAGGUUGAAGGUUGGGUAACACUAACUGGAGGACCGAACCGACUAAUGUUGAAAAAUUAGCGGAUGACCUGUGGCUGGGGGUGAAAGGCCAAUCAAACCGGGAGAUAGCUGGUUCUCCCCGAAAGCUAUUUAGGUAGCGCCUCGUGAAUUCAUCUCCGGGGGUAGAGCACUGUUUCGGCUAGGGGGCCAUCCCGGCUUACCAACCCGAUGCAAACUGCGAAUACCGGAGAAUGUUAUCACGGGAGACACACGGCGGGUGCUAACGUCCGUCGUGAAGAGGGAAACAACCCAGACCGCCAGCUAAGGUCCCAAAGUCAUGGUUAAGUGGGAAACGAUGUGGGAAGGCCCAGACAGCCAGGAUGUUGGCUUAGAAGCAGCCAUCAUUUAAAGAAAGCGUAAUAGCUCACUGGUCGAGUCGGCCUGCGCGGAAGAUGUAACGGGGCUAAACCAUGCACCGAAGCUGCGGCAGCGACACUGUGUGUUGUUGGGUAGGGGAGCGUUCUGUAAGCCUGUGAAGGUGUGUCGUGAGGCAUGCUGGAGGUAUCAGAAGUGCGAAUGCUGACAUAAGUAACGAUAAAGCGGGUGAAAAGCCCGCUCGCCGGAAGACCAAGGGUUCCUGUCCAACGUUAAUCGGGGCAGGGUGAGUCGACCCCUAAGGCGAGGCCGAAAGGCGUAGUCGAUGGGAAACGGGUUAAUAUUCCCGUACUUGGUGUUACUGCGAAGGGGGGACGGAGAAGGCUAUGUUGGCCGGG